rnacentral:piRNA from 1 species
UGCAAGAUGGGUAUAUUGUGUUCUACC